UACGGAGGGAGCUAGCGUUGUUCGGAAUUACUGGGCGUAAAGGGCAUGUAGGCGGCCCGCUAAGUUGGAAGUGAAAUCCCGGAGCUUAACUCCGGAAUUGCUUUCAAAACUGGCAGGCUAGAGAAUGGUAGAGGAUGAUGGAAUUCCUAGUGUAGAGGUAAAAUUCGUAGAUAUUAGGAGGAACACCAGUGGCGAAGGCGAUCAUCUGGGCCAUUUCUGACGCUGAGAUGCGAAAGCGUGGGGAGCAAACAGG
rnacentral:rRNA from 1 species